GAUGAACGCUGGCGGCGUGCCUAAUACAUGCAAGUCGAGCGAACAGACGAGGAGCUUGCUCCUCUGACGUUAUCGGCGGACGGGUGAGUAACACGUGGAUAACCUACCUAUAAGACUGGGAUAACUUCGGGAAACCGGAGCUAAUACCGGAUAAUAUAUUGAACCGCAUGGUUCAAUAGUGAAAGACGGUUUUGCUGUCACUUAUAGAUGGAUCCGCGCCGCAUUAGCUAGUUGGUAAGGUAACGGCUUAGCAAGGCAACGAUGCGUAGCCGACCUGAGAGGGUGAUCGGCCACACUGGAACUGAGAAACGGUCCAGACUCCUACGGGAGGCAGCAGUAGGGAAUCUUCCGCAAUGGGCGAAAGCCUGACGGAGCAACGCCGCGUGAAUGCUGAAGGUCUUCGGAUCGUAAAACUCUGUUAUUAGGGAAGAACAAAUGUGUAAGUAACUAUGCACGUCUUGACGGUACCUAAUCAGAAAGCCACGGCUAACUCCGUG
rnacentral:rRNA from 1 species